GACGUUAGCGAAGGGGAGUAGUCCCGAAUCGUCGAGUCGACAUACUGGCGAAAAGCCCGGCUGGCGAACCGUUUGAUACCAACGGUGGGCGAGACCUUCGACCGAUGU
rnacentral:ncRNA from 2 species